GCCUCGAUGGCUCAGCCUGGCUAGAGCGGCCCCCUUGUAAGGGGCAGGCCGAGGGUUCAAAUCCCUCUCGGGGCU
rfam:Candidatus Nanosalina sp. J07AB43 genomic scaffold scf_7180000030742, whole genome shotgun sequence.